rnacentral:pre_miRNA from 1 species
UGGUGAUAAUGAUGAUGAUGAUGACGAUGAUGAUGAUAAUGGUUGUGGUGGUGGUGGUGAUAAUGAUCAUCAUCAUCGUCAUCAUCGUCAUUAUCA